UUAUGAUGGAUGUGAUAGUCAUUGCAUUGAACAUACAGUAUAUGUCGUUGUUAAGUAGAAAGUAUGGUAGCCAAGUUAGCGCUCUUAAUUUAUUACAACAUAUGGUAGCUAUUACCGUUUUCCUCUCUUGCAUGACCUACGACUUGUAUGCGGCUUUCUGGUCCUAGUUCUCUCGUUGUCCCAAACAAGUGAUCAAACGUUUCAGUCAUUGGAUUCCACUGUGCGAUAGCAGAUAUUUCGGGGUUUUUCUUGUACAAGAACAAGGCAGCUUCGUGUACUAUAUUGUCGUCUUCCAUGAUGGCGAUCACCU